UACGUAGGCAGCGAGCGUUGUUCGGAGUUACUGGGCGUAAAGCGUGCGUAGGCGGUGUCUUAAGUUUGUUGUGAAAUCUCCCGGCUUAACCGGGUGGGUGCGGCGAAUACUGAGAUGCUGGAGUGCCGGAGAGGUAAGCGGAAUUCCUGGUGUAGCGGUGAAAUGCGUAGAUAUCAGGAGGAACACCUGCGGUGUAGACGGCUUACUGGACGGUAACUGACGCUGAGGCACGAAAGCGUGGGUAGCAAACAGG
rnacentral:rRNA from 1 species